GUAAUGCCGGAUGCUCCAGUUGAUCGCAUGGUCUUCUGGGAAAGCUUUCGCGGUAUGGGAUGGGGUCGCGUCCUAUCAGCUUGACGGCGGGGUAACGGCCCACCGUGGCUUCGACGGGUAGCCGGCCUGAGAGGGCGACCGGCCACAUUGGGACUGAGAUACGGCCCAGACUCCUACGGGAGGCAGCAGUGGGGAAUAUUGCACAAUGGGCGCAAGCCUGAUGCAGCGACGCCGCGUGAGGGAUGGAGGCCUUCGGGUUGUAAACCUCUUUUAUCGGGGAGCAAGCGAGAGUGAGUUUACCCGUUGAAUAAGCACCGGCUAACUACGUGCCAGCAGCCGCGGUAAUACGUAGGGUGCAAGCGUUAUCCGGAAUUAUUGGGCGUAAAGGGCUCGUAGGCGGUUCGUCGCGUCCGGUGUGAAAGUCCAUCGCUUAACGGUGGAUCCGCGCCGGGUACGGGCGGGCUUGAGUGCGGUAGGGGAGACUGGAAUUCCCGGUGUAACGGUGGAAUGUGUAGAUAUCGGAAAGAA
rnacentral:rRNA from 1 species